rnacentral:rRNA from 1 species
CCCUUAGACGUUCUGGGCUGCACGCGUGCUACACUGAUAUUGCCAAUAUGUCAUUCUUAUCCGAAAUGGAUUGGGUAAUCAAGUAAUGAAAUUUCAUGCUUGGAAUCGGUAAUUGCAAUUUUAUCGUGAACGAGGAAUUCCUAGUAAGCACUAGUCAUCAGCUAAUGUUGAUUAUGUCCCUGCCCUUUGUACACACCGCCCGUCGCUACUACUGAUUGGGUGUUCAAGUGAGAUGCUUAGACCCUUGUUGCAUGGUUCAUUAUUGUGCUCCGAAAGGAAAAAGUUUCAAGCUUGAGUGUCUAGAGGAAGUAAAAGUCGUAACA